GACGAACGCUGGCGGCGUGCUUAACACAUGCAAGUCGAACGGAAAGGCCCUGCUUUUGUGGGGUGCUCGAGUGGCGAACGGGUGAGUAACACGUGAGUAACCUGCCCUUGACUUUGGGAUAACUUCAGGAAACUGGGGCUAAUACCGGAUAGGAGCUCCUGCUGCAUGGUGGGGGUUGGAAAGUUUCGGCGGUUGGGGAUGGACUCGCGGCUUAUCAGCUUGUUGGUGGGGUAGUGGCUUACCAAGGCUUUGACGGGUAGCCGGCCUGAGAGGGUGACCGGCCACAUUGGGACUGAGAUACGGCCCAGACUCCUACGGGAGGCAGAAGGGGGGAAUAUUGCACAAUGGGCGGAAGCGUGAUGCAGCAACGCCGCGUGCGGGAUGACGGCCUUCGGGUUGUAAACAGCUUUCGCCUGUGACGAAGAGUGAGUGACGGUAAUGGGUAAAGAAGCACCGGCUAACUACGUG
rnacentral:rRNA from 1 species